UGGGGAAUAUUGGACAAUGGGCGAAAGCCUGAUCCAGCAAUGCCGCGUGAGUGAUGAAGGCCUUCGGGUUGUAAAGCUCUUUUGGCGGGGACGAUUAUGACGGUACCCGCAGAAUAAGCUCCGACUAACUUCGUGCCAGCAGUCGCGGUAAUACGAAGGGGGCUAGCGUUGCUCGGAAUUACUGGGCGUAAAGGGCGUGUAGGCGGCCUGCCAAGUCAGAUGUGAAAGCCCCGGGCUUAACCUGGGAACUGCAUUUGAUACUGGUAGGCUAGAGUUCGGGAGAGGACAGUAGAAUUGCUAGUGUAGAGGUGAAAUUCGUAGAUAUUAGCAGGAACACCGGUGGCGAAAGCGGCUGUCUGGAACGUAACUGACGCUGAGGCGCGAAAGCGUGGGGAGCAAA
rnacentral:rRNA from 1 species